rnacentral:rRNA from 1 species
AUUGAACGCUGGCGGCAAGCCUAACACAUGCAAGUCGAACGAGUGGCGGACGGGUGAGUAAUGUCUGGGAAACUGCCUGAUGGAGGGGGAUAACUACUGGAAACGGUAGCUAAUACCGCAUACCAUCGGAUGUGCCCAGAUGGGAUUAGCUAGUAGGUGGUCUAAAGGCUCACCUAGGCGACGAUCCCUAGCUGGUCUGCGCGGAUGACCAGCCACACUGGAACUGAGACACGGUCCAGGCUCCUACGGGAGGCAGCAGGUGGGAAUAGUUAACAAUGGGCGCAAGCCUGAUGCAGCCAUGCCGCGUGUAUGAAGAAGGCCUUCGGGUUGUAAAGUACUUUCAGCGGGGAGGCGUUACCCGCAGAAGAAGCACCGGCUAACUCCGUGCCAGCAGCCGCGGUAAUUC